UCAGCCCUGCCCCCCUUCCUUAUGAUUUCGAUAACGUCACGUAUCCGAGGACCAUACGAAUCGGUCUUAUCAACUCCCAGCAGCCCGUCAACAACAUGCCACAUGCGCAUGGUAAUCAUUUGUAUGGACCAGCCAUUGCGGAUACUGUUCUCCUUCUCUUCAUCUCCGUCUCCAUACAAUUUCACGCAUUCAUCUUUCGUUUGCUCCAAGCUAUACCCUGCAAACGUCAAAAGAUAAACAGCCGCAUCAGAUAUGUUGUCUGUGCUCGGAUGGAUGGGGCUUCUGCACUGUUCCACGCCAGGGCCUUCGGCCGUUUUACCAAGGCGGAUAAUGGUAACGGGGAAGAUAUCGCUCUUGCGAAUUCCGCGCAUCAAGUUCUGGUCAUCGGCCCCCAAGAUACGGGACCAAGCUCUCUCAUAUGAAGCCAUGAAUUGAUCGACCAAGGACAUCGCUACGAAACUUGGUAUUCACCGGUUUUUUUUGCUCGACGAGAAUAUGACAGUUUGGUAUCGAUGAAGUUCGCCCCACAACCUUCAAGUUUGAGCACAGUUUGUAUAUGUUCUGGAAAGGGUCCGUUCUUAAGAUAUCGGAAAAAUUCUGGAUGAAGCUUGAUUCUAAAAACCGGAGGAGAUGAGAGGAUGAGGAUAGAGGUAAUGAUACACCAUGGACAAUGGGAAAUGGUGAAUCCAGUGCUCUACAGGAGACAAGUGCAGAUAUUUAUAUUCAACCCUACCACAGCCUUCGCUUCUCUACUAUCCGUUCUCCCUUUACACGGCCGCUUCUUUCCAGAAGACACAAAACGCCAAAGUCGACUGAGUGAAUAAAUGUCCCUCAACCAGUGCUUGCUUCCUGCAACGCUUGAUACGAGGGUGGAAUCCAUGGUUGAGGGUGACGGGGAAGUUGAAGGGAAAGUGGCGGAAUGGAGAAAAUGUGAAAAUCAUAUGGCAGAAGUCCAAAAUACGGAACUCUCCCGUAUAAAAUGACAAUGAUACCCUCUCCAUGGCUUAAAUGCAGAGCGGCGAAUGCUUUGUAUUACAACGACAAUUGCAAACGAAGAAGCAAUGAUGGAAACUCCCAUUGACGCAUGCUGAUUGCUUACGGAGAAUCUCGCUAAGAAUCAUAUUCUAUCUUUGCUCACGAAGGGACCCAGGAUUGGCUCACUAUCGUUGAGAAGUUAACUACAGUACAUAGAAGGAUG
rnacentral:sRNA from 1 species